rnacentral:siRNA from 1 species
UUGCACUACUGCAAGGGCUGGC